rnacentral:rRNA from 1 species
AUUGAACGCUGGCGGCAUGCUUUACACAUGCAAGUCGGACGAGUGGCGAACGGGUGAGUAACGCCUCGGAACGUACCGAGUAAUGAGGGAUAACUGUCCGAAAGACCAUCUAAUACCGCAUAUCAUACGAGCGGCCGAUGUCUGAUUAGCUGGUUGGCGUGGUAAAGGCCCACCAAGGGUACGACCAGUACCGGGUCUGAGAGGAUGACCCGCCACACUGGGACUGAGACCCGGCCCAGACUCCUACGGGAGGCAUCAGUGGGGAAUUUUGGACAAUGGGCGCAAGCCUGAUCCAGCCAUGCCGCGUGUCUGAAGAAGGCGUUCGGGUUGUAAAGGACUUUUGUCAGGGAAGCGGUACCUGAAGAAUAAGCACCGGCUAACUACGUGCCAGCAGCCGCGGUAAUAC